GACGAACGCUGGCGGCGUGCUUAACACAUGCAAGUCGAACGGAAAGGCCUUUUCGGAGGUACUCGAGUGGCGAACGGGUGAGUAACACGUGGGUGAUCUGCCCUGCACUCUGGGAUAAGCCUGGGAAACUGGGUCUAAUACCGGAUAGGACCGCACUUUAGUGUGUGUGGUGGAAAGUUUUUUCGGUGUAGGAUGAGCCCGCGGCCUAUCAGCUUGUUGGUGGGGUAAUGGCCUACCAAGGCGGCGACGGGUAGCCGGACUGAGAGGUUGGUCGGCCACAUUGGGACUGAGAUACGGCCCAGACUCCGGCGGGAGGCAGCAGUGGGGAAUAUUGCACAAUGGGCGCAAGCCUGAUGCAGCGACGCCGCGUGGGGGAUGACGGCCUUCGGGUUGGAAACUCCUUUCGCCAGGGACGAAGCGUUUUGUGACGGUACCUGGAGAAGAAGCACCGGCUAACUACGUG
rnacentral:rRNA from 1 species